rnacentral:rRNA from 1 species
GACAGAGGGUGCGAGCGUUGUCCGGAAUCACUGGGCGUAAAGGGCGCGUAGGCGGCCUGAUAAGUAGGGGGUGAAAUCCUGUGGCUUAACUGCAGGGCUGCCUCCUAGACUGUUAGGCUCGAGCACGGUAGAGGCAGAUGGAAUUCCCGGUGUAGCGGUGGAAUGCGUAGAGAUCGGGAAGAACAUCGGUGGCGAAGGCGGUCUGCUGGGCCGUUGCUGACGCUGAGGCGCGACAGCGUGGGGAGCAAACAGG